rnacentral:rRNA from 1 species
UACGGAGGGUGCUAGCGUUGUUCGGAAUUACUGGGCGUAAAGGGCGCGUAGGCGGCCGUUUGCGUCGGAUGUGGAAGCCCGGGGCUCAACCUCGGAACGGCAUUCGAUACGGGACGGCUGGAGACCGGGAGAGGAGAGUGGAAUAGCCAGUGUAGAGGUGAAAUUCGUAGAUAUUGGCUGGAACACCGGUGGCGAAAGCGGCUCUCUGGCCCGGUUCUGACGCUGAGGCGCGAAAGCGUGGGGAGCAAACAGGAUUAGAUACCCUGGUAGUCCACGCCCUAAACGAUGUGUGCUGGGCGUCGGGGGGCUUGCCCCUCGGUGCCGGAGCUAACGCGGUAAGCACACCGCCUGGGGAGUACGGCCGCAAGGUUAAA